rnacentral:rRNA from 1 species
UACGUAGGGGGCUAGCGUUGCUCGGAAUUACUGGGCGUAAAGGGCGCGUAGGCGGAUACUUAAGUCGGGGGUGAAAGCCCGGGGCUCAACCUCGGAAUUGCCUUCGAUACUGGGUAUCUUGAGUUCGGGAGAGGUGAGUGGAAUGCCGAGUGUAGAGGUGAAAUUCGUAGAUAUUCGGCGGAACACCAGUGGCGAAGGCGACUCACUGGCCCGAUACUGACGCUGAUGCGCGAAAGCGUGGGGAGCAAACAGG